ACAUAGAGUCCCCCUUGAUACGGCUGUUCAGCAGACCAACUUUGUUGUAAAUAUUUAGAUAAAAAUGGGCUUUAGAGCAGCCACAUCUGAAGACCCACAAGGCUGAAUGUUACACAGGCAAUCAGAAUCUGAUUGAAGAUAAACUCAUCCUAUUUGGAUCAGAGCAUUAGAAGAAAGAAAGAACUGACACUUCUCAACCUUCUCUAGUUGAAGACUUCUCUUUGCUAUAACUACUUGAAGAGUUCAGCAGAAAAAUUUUACUGAAGAAUCCCUGAUCCUCCUUUAAGUAGCUGUAGAGAAUAUUCACUAAGUGUAAUGGGACACGUCUCUCUCAUGCCCACUUCUUUUCUCUUAUCCCUGCAAGAAAAUGAAGUUUUGUUGGAGUCAG
rnacentral:lncRNA from 1 species